UGAUUGAUGUGUAUAUGUAUGUGAAUUAGAGAGAGAGAAAGUAUAUUAGAGCAAAAAGUCCUGAGUUCGAUCGAGUCCAAUCAAAUCUGUAGUAUCAUUUAAUUUUCUCUUAUUUAAUUUAAGCCGACGUUUUGAGCCUAUCAGAAAGUCUAAAGACCAGGUCACGAACAAAUAGAGCAAUGCCAAAAUUACUCCCAAUUAUUGAC
rnacentral:lncRNA from 1 species